rnacentral:rRNA from 1 species
UACGUAGGGGGCUAGCGUUGUCCGGAAUCAUUGGGCGUAAAGGGCUCGUAGGCGGCCAACUAAGUCGGACGUGAAAUCCCUCAGCUUAACUGGGGAACUGCGUCCGAUACUGGAUGGCUUGGAUUUGGGAGAGGGAUGCGGAAUUCCAGGUGUAGCGGUGAAAUGCGUAGAUAUUGGGAGGAACACCAGUGGCGAAGGCGGCUUUCUGGACGGUGACUGACGCUGAGACGCGAAAGCGUGGGGAGCAAACAGG